CACACAGACAAACCUGUCAGCUAUAUAAUCCUCAUGAGAAUGACACAUGCCUGCCCCUGUUUUAUGACCAACACAUGUAUACUUCAUGCUGCUAUACCAGACACUUCCCUCCAUCACAUUUGUGCACUACUGAAUACUGUAAAUCACUGCGCCUCUGUCUCUGCUGAGGUCUAUACAACAUAGAACAGCAAUUGAUCAGUUGUUGAUAAUGCUAUUGAUGAGGUAUUGCUUUUGGAAUAAAAUGAUCAUAUUCUUAAUUUUCUAAAUGUGGACUUGUUCACAAAUACUCCCCUUUGUAAGUGCUAACAGCUUCAGCAAUGGCUUAAGUCGAGAAAGUAUUUUGGACAAACAGUGCCCUCUAGUGUGUAUUAAGAGCUCUUGCAUGGGAACAAUUUUACUCUGGGAGAGCUGUGAGAAUUCAUCAUGGAAUCCUGCCUUACAACAAUAACAAAAAAUUAGUUAAAACAAUAAACUCCUUCUUUAUUGUCACAAAUAAUAAGCUAUCACUUUCUCAUAAUGUGCUUGGUAAAGUUUUGUCUCUAUCAAAAAAAAGAUGUGAAAUGUGAUUUCAUUUAUAUAUUAACAAAAAUUAUUUGGGGGGUACAAAAGUGUUUUUUUUCCACUUUGUUGUCUAAAGUUCUAAUGCCAAAGGUAUAAUAAAACCAUUUAUGACUUUUAAACUAAAUUGGUAGGAACAUGAACACACUUAUGAAAUUACCUAACUGAAGACUAUUUUUGACUUAUUGAGUAAUCAACAUAUUUUAUCAUAUAUUGACAACAUAUUUUAUGAUAUGAGUUAACAACAACUGUUUAACAUUUACAAACAGUGAGUCUUUUAAAACUUUGUAAGUGUACGUUGGAUAAUUUUUGUCUUGAAGACUAGUCCCAUAAUGUUCUGGAAUGUUCUAGACUAUUAUAGACUGUUACAGGAAUUUAUAGAAUGUUCUAAAAACAUUCAAGGCAAUAUUAAUAUUCUGAAGUAACUGUGAACAUCUUCCAAACUUUAACAACCAGAAAGUGCUAAAACAAUUUGCCAUACAUGUAUGUGUUUUUAUUUAGUAAUAUGUUUGCAACUUGGCAGAUUGUAACACGUGGGCUUCUCUUAAUAAAUUUAAAGAUAUCUUUCUCAAAUGAUCUGAAUUAACAGCAAAGUCACUUGGCAACUAUAAAUGUUUUUAUAUUAAAGCAUAGAGGACAUAUUUGUGUGCUAUGGAGAACAUUUUUACAAUUGCUAAUUUUCCUAAGUAUAAAGUCAAUAAAUGAGCUAAACAGUAUUUACAGAUCGUUCACGUAAGCUUGAGUUCCGGUGCUUUUGUUCCCUCUGAAGCUGCGACAGCUAUGCGCAUUAAAUAAUCGCCUGUACCAUGUGACCUCAUUCAAUGUUUGUAAACACGCGUCAAGCACAUGUGAUCCAGAAGUGUUUAGGAACGUGUAAAGCGCGGUGGCCAAUCAGUCGCCGGGGGAGUGUCUGGGGGCGGGGCUUGAAUAUUUCGCCCUGGAAAAAUCGAUAGGGAUCUUGUAAUGAUGCGAGGAGACUACGUCUAAAGAAAGGAAAGUGAGGAGUUAGGUCAGAUUGAAACAAGUGAAGAGUGCAGGCAUCCGUGGAAUGCAGAUUAUUUAGAAGAAAUAUUAUAUUGGAAAGCAAUCGGUUUGAAUGUACCCACAGCCUCGAUAAAGAUGCCUUUCCCUUUAAGAGCUGGAUCAGCAUUGCACAAGCUGUCAGGUGCACAGAAGCAGCAAACCAAGAAUAAACUGAUGUUAGAGUGAAACAAGAAACUUGUAAACAAAUAUUCUCCCCUCCCUCUUGGUCACUCCCUGUACUUUUCUUUUGUAUUUAUUCUAUUGACUCAGGUCUACAGUAGCUAGGUCUAUACCUCUACUCUCGUAUAUACGCAGCAGUGGCAAGGAAAACAAAAACGAAACUAUGGAUCAGUACAAACUGUACUGACAGAAUGGGGUUUAAAUGUAUGCACUGUAGCAUAUUUAAUAUUUGCCUGUUUUGAACUGUGUUUUUCCAGUGCCAUCUCCUCUUGUGCUGCUCCUAGAAGCUGAAUUCAGAUGGUGCCAUAGAGUACUUUAUGGCAUCUAGCACCAUUUGAAAUCAGUGUUCUUGGGUCGGUCUUGACAUCACAUGGGACACCUAAAUGGUGUUGACUGCAGUGUUUGUGAUCAAUGUCUUUGCAUGUCUGAUUUGCACAAGUUUCAUGAAUGAAAUAAAACAAAUUUAUUCUUCUGCUACAA